rnacentral:rRNA from 1 species
GAUGAACGCUAGCGGCGUGCCUUAUGCAUGCAAGUCGAACGGUCUUAAGCAAUUAAGAUAGUGGCGAACGGGUGAGUAACGCGUAAGUAACCUACCUCUAAGUGGGGGAUAGCUUCGGGAAACUGAAGGUAAUACCGCAUGUGGUGGACCGACAUAUGUUGGUUCACUAAAGCCGUAAGGCGCUUGGUGAGGGGCUUGCGUCCGAUUAGCUAGUUGGUGGGGUAAUGGCCUACCAAGGCUUCGAUCGGUAGCUGGUCUGAGAGGAUGAUCAGCCACACUGGGACUGAGACACGGCCCAGACUCCUACGGGAGGCAGCAGCAAGGAAUCUUGGGCAAUGGGCGAAAGCCUGACCCAGCAACGCCGCGUGAGGGAUGAAGGCUUUCGGGUUGUAAACCUCUUUUCAUAGGGAAGAAUAAA